rnacentral:rRNA from 1 species
AUGAACGCUGGCGGCGUGCCUAAUACAUGCAAGUCGAGCGAACAGACGAGGAGCUUGCUCCUCUGACGUUAGCGGCGGACGGGUGAGUAACACGUGGAUAACCUACCUAUAAGACUGGGAUAACUUCGGGAAACCGGAGCUAAUACCGGAUAAUAUAUUGAACCGCAUGGUUCAAUAGUGAAAGACGGUUUUGCUGUCACUUAUAGAUGGAUCCGCGCCGCAUUAGCUAGUUGGUAAGGUAACGGCUUGCCAAGGCAACGAUGCGUAGCCGACCUGAGAGGGUGAUCGGCCACACUGGAACUGAGACACGGUCCAGACUCCUACGGGAGGCAGCAGUAGGGAAUCUUCCGCAAUGGGCGAAAGCCUGACGGAGCAACGCCGCGUGAGUGAUGAAGGUCUUCGGAUCGUAAAACUCUGUUAUUAGGGAAGAACAAAUGUGUAAGUAACUAUGCACGUCUUGACGGUACCUAAUCAGAAAGCCACGGCUAACUACGUG